UUGAACCGUUUGGCAGCUCUGAUUUAAAAACAAACUUGUUGCUGCUCAACUCGGUAGCCGUUCAACAUGGUUUCCGUUUUGAUUUGAGCUCCUACAUGGAUGCAGAAAUACACAUACACAGCUUGGACUUUGACAUGAUGAGUAGAGAAGAAGACUCUGUGGAGAAACUGGACUCUGAAUUUGAUCACUACUUAGUUGACAUGAAACCCUUCGUGCUCAGGCUUCCAGAUAAAUCAGAGCGUCAGCGGUGUGCCCUGUGGAUUAAGAAGCUCUGUGAUCCUGUGGCGUCCGGCUCUGGGCUGAUGGGAAGGAAAAAUCGAAAUGCAUACACCAGGCUUCUUCUGCACAUGCUCAGGAAAGGAGUUCUUGAGGGACCAUUUACCUACAAGCCUGAAGCGGGAAGCCUCAAGACUUUACCAACGUACAUGUCAGUGUACUACGAUGAGCCGCUGGCGUCCCGGUCUCGAGCACAGAGCUCCACCAUGCUGCCAGACUGGGUUUCUGGCGAACUUGAUCGUGAUGACACGUGGUCCGGUCUGCUGAAGGACUCCUCUCCACCUCAUCCAAACUCAAACAGAAGGAGAAACCUGUUCAGUCACAAGUCUCCAACGAGACCUUUAUCGUCCAGUCCACUCAAACCCACUGCCAAAGAGGACAAGAUGGAUGAGCGACUAAGAAGACCCUUGUCUGAUGACAGUGACGUAGAGGCCCGUCUCAACAGCUGGAACCUUGGGAUCGAAAACCCCAGGUAUUUGCGCGAGAACCCUAUUCCCCUGUCUCCGAUUUACCCAAAAUCAAGCCUAAGAAAAAGUAGCACCCUUACCGAUGAGCCUCCCGAUUACAAACGAGAUAAGGAGACUGAAAUGAGGAGCAAAGUCCUGGAAGCCAAAUACCAAGAGGAGAAGCUGAAGCUCCAGCAGAGACAUGACGCUGAUGUUCAGAAGAUUUUACACCGUAAGAACGGCGAGAUCGAGGAGCUGAAGAACGUGCAGCGGUGCAAGCAGAAGGAAUCCGAGGAAGCCAUGAGAGCACUGGAGAGAAAAGUUCAAAGCUUGCUGCGCGAGUCCCAGAUCAUCCGCCAGAGCAAAGACAAGCAGAUCGCAGAGUUGAAGAAAAUGUCGGAUCAAAGUGCUGACUCUCUGAAAAACGAAUGGGAGAAGAAGCUCCACACUGUUGUGGCUCAGAUGGAGCAGGAGAAGUUUGAGCUGCAGAAGAAGCACACAGACAACAUCCAGGAGCUCCUGGAGGACACCAACCAGCGGCUGGCCAAGAUGGAGGCGGAGUAUGUCACCCAGGCGCGAGCCACCGAGCAGACAGUGCGGGAUCUGGAGGCACGGGUGAAGCAGCUCUCAGUGGAGGUAGAGAACGGCAACCUGCUCAGGCAGAAGGUCACACAGGAGAAAGCUGAGCUGGAGAUACACAUUGCAGCAUACAGCGCUGAGCUGCAGGAGGCCAACUGCAGGAAUAUGACUCUACAGAGGGAGAAGGAUCUACAGAGUGAGCAGCAUGAGGAUGAACUACAGAAGCUCCAGGCCCAACAUGAUGCAGACAUCAGCCUCUUUCAGCAGGAGCAUGCCCUGUCUGCAGCCAAGGCGUCUGAAAUGAUCGAGGAUCUGGAACAGAUGGUGGCUCGACUCAAACAGCAGCUGCGAGACAGCGAGCACCAAAGGCACAAACAGCUCAGGGAGCUGGAAAAUAAGAUCCAGCAUGACAGAAUGGACCUGCAGCAUACCAGUGACAAAAAGGUGCAGGCUCUGCAGGCCGAGCUGGAGAAGGAGCGUAAUGAAGCCAGAAAAAAGAGCAUGAAGUUGGAGGAGGCACUCAGGGAGAAAGAGGAUCACAUGAGCCGCCUAAGAGAGUCCCAGAGACAGCAGGCCCAGCAGGCAGAGAGCGCUUUGGAGAGCUUUAAGAAGCAGGUGGAGCUCAGCUCUGAGAAAGCUUACACUGACAUGAAGCAGCAGAUGGAAAAGGUAGAAGCUGAUCUGUCCCGUUCCAAAUCACUGAGAGAGAAGCAAACAAAGGAGUUUGGCCACCAACUAGAGGAGCUCCAGCAGAAAUACGAGCAGCAGAUUAUGGAGCUGAAACUGCAGCACGAGCAGGAGAGGACACACCUACUUCAACAACACAAUACUGAGAAGGACAGCCUGGUCCAGGAUCAUCAGCGGGAGAUUGCUAGUCUGGAGAAGCAGGCGCGGUCCGCCAUGGCCCAGCACCAAGCACAGACCCAAGAAUGGAGAAAGCGGGACGGACAGACCAUAAGUGAGCUGGAGUCCCAGGUGCACACUUUGAGGGAGGAGCUGCUUGCGGCUCACAGUCAGAAGAAGCAGCAGCUGUCCGAGUUGGGCCUACUGCGUGAAGAGGAGCGCCAACGUGCUGCCCAGGAACAGGAAGUGGCGUUGGGCCGUGUCCGGGCCGAAAUGGAACGUGUCCGCCAGGAUCUGGAGAGAAGCCACACUGCCGAGAGAGAACUCGCUCAGGAGAAGGCAAACAGCAGGUUGAAGCAGCUCGAGAAGGAAUACACCCAGAAGCUCGCUAAGUCUGCACAGACAAUGGCAGAGCUGCAAACAACAUUAUUCUCCAUUAAAGAAGAGAGCAAACAAACCCAGCAGGCUCUGGAGCGCCAGCUACAGGAAGCACAUACACACUGGGAUGAGGAGAGGAGACGGCUCAGCCGAGAUGCCGACCGUAUCAGCAAAGCUCUCCAGGAGCGGAUGGAGAGCUUACAGAAGCAGCUACGCACUGCAGAGAAGAAACUGAUGAGCCGGGAGCUGGAAACCCAGGAACAGAUCACACACAUCCGCCAGGAGUACGAGUUAAAGAUUAAAGGCCUGAUGCCUGCUGAGCUCAGGCAGGAGCUGGAGGACACCAUCACCUCUCUCAAGUCACAGAUGGCGAGUGUUGGGGGAAACUAACAAGUAGUGUGAGUUCUUCAGUAGACAUGGAUCUAAUUUGGCCAUGGGGCUUUGAAGUGCCAGUUCUGAUUCAUCUUCCCUCAUGCGCAAUUAUAUCCAGCAACCGCAUUAAUAGUGGCUUCAAGGGCUCUGGCCAAAUGUUUAUUACUUUCACCGGACCUCGCUCUGCCUGCAUCUGCGUUGAGGAGGGAAAAAAAGCCCGCUUUUUUUCACCGAAGAGUGAGGUCCCCCGAUGAAAGACACUAAAUACAUCUGCCUGGAAUUUUCACUUUCCGUUCUGAUCAUGUUCUGUGUUCAGAUAUGUUUAGCUCCGUGCGCUGCUCAAAUCUUGUCCGGCAUUGCACAUGAUGUGUUCAUCCCUCUAAACCCAAGUGGAAUCUGGGCACGUGCAUGGGUCUGUGAAAUAGACACCACUGUGGGGAUGUCAACUAGUCAGGGAACUAACGCUAAACGCUAAAGAAAGCAGCAUAAAGUCAUUUAGAUUCGAUGAAGUCAACUGCACAGCUGGCAAAAGUCUUUUGCUAUAAAAGACUGAACGUUUGCUGUUGCUUUGUUUAGUGCAAAUUAAUUUUUUUAAUCCUCACUCCUGCUUGUUCCUGAUGGAAUUCCUCCCACAGUUAAUUUGUUGUCUGUCCAUCCAUCCAUCUUCCAUACCGCUUACCCUACACAGAGUCGUGGUGGAGCCUGGAGCCUAUCCCAGGGGAUUCGGGGCACAAGAGGAGGGACACCCUGGGCGGUGUGCCAACCCAUCUCCGGGCACAAUCACACACAUUCACACACUACGGACAAUUUAGAGAUGCCAAUCAGCCUACUUUGUUAUUUUGUUGUCCUUUAAAGUUAAAUAAAGUUUAAAUCACAGCCUUGCACUGUGGCACAUUUUAAUUCCGUUGUGAACGAGCGCGAAGCCGCAGGUUGCACACCGUUAUCCAGCGUUACUCGGCUAGAUUCGGAGUCAGAUCAGCGUACGUCAGCUCAAAGACUCUGAUUUCUGCAGACUCCUUUUUAGAUGCUCCUUAAAUACUGUAAUAUGAUGCACAGAUUUAUUAUUUUGGACAUUUAUUGCACUGAUUUAUUGACUUUUUUUAAUAGCAUAGCUUAAUAAAGCAUUAAAGUGUCAUCAGUAACUUGUGUAUGGCUGUCAAGUCAAGAGCAGUUUUACACAUUCUUUGUUGAAAUGUCUUGAAAGUUUUGUUUUAUUGGUGGUAAAGAUAUUUAGAUGACUUUUUUUUUUUUUAAUUACUGCUCAGAUAGUAAAAAUUAGCAGUCGUGCAACCCCUUGGAACAUUUUGACUGGUCACUCAGUAGCUCAAAAACAAGUACAAUAAUGCUACAAUAACUUGUAUCUAAUGCUAAUUUUAGUAAUAAAAAAAGUGUUCUAUGAAAAAUGGCACAUAAAAACAACGGUAUGCCUUCAAUAUAUAAAUAAAAUAUUGUAUACAUUUAGUUUGCAUGUUCUCCCCUUGCUGCGGGGGUUUCCUCCGGGUACUCCGGUUUCCUCCCCCAGUCCAAAGACAUGCAUGGUAGGCUGAUUGGCAUGUCUAAAGUGUCCGUAGUGUAUGAAUGGGUGUGUGAGUGUGUAUGUGAUUGUGCCCUGCGAUGGAUUGGCACCCCGUCCAGGGUGUACCCCGCCUUGUGCCCGAUGCUCCCUGGGAUAAUCUCCAGGUUCCCCCGUGACCCUGAAAAAGGAUAAGCAGUAUAGAAGAUGGAUGGAUGUAUACAUUUAAACAAUGUGUGUUUGAUAUUUAAAUACUAUUACAUAAUAAGUUAUGUUCAUAAAAGAAAUCCAUAGUAAAGGCGUCACUGGAAUUUUGUGAACCUGGCUGCUAAAAGCUUCAGAACCACUUCUCUAAAAUUCUAAUCCUUUAUAUAACACGAAAAGGACUGUGUACUUUACAUGCAUAGCUGCUGUAACACUAGACCCUGUUUGAUGUCUCCUGUGGAGUGUGUUCAUCUCGGGCACUCUUCUAAAGUUCAGGCAAAGUUAAGAGGAGACUUUCACUUUAAGGCCCUGUUUACACUAGUGCGUUUUCAUUUUAAAGUGGCGUUUUAAAAUGAAAAACGAUCCUCGUCCAUACUGGUGUUUCCACUGGGUUUCAGAAACGAUCUCCGUCCACGCUACACGACCGAGUACGCAUGUCACAUGGCCAUUCAUGAACACUGCGCAUGCACAUACAAGUGUAAACAGGAAGUUGGUUGCUAGACCAAACCGGCAUUCCUACAGGCUUACGCCGAUUGAAAUGAGACUUGUUGCCAAUUGCUCUAAUCAUAGCUCGCCUCUUGCACAUGUAGGCAGCUGCAGUAUUAUAAAACACAGAAUUUAACUGCACAAUGGCUGAUAAGAAUGACAACAAAGCCAGAAAAGCUUACGGUUCAGUCUCCGUGUUGUUGUGUGUACGAUCAAGGUAGCGUAAUAAUGAGUCACAUAUACAUUUAUUAUUAGUAACAUAUACAUUACAGCACAGUGAAAUUCUUUUCUUCGCAUACCCCAGCAUGUUAGGAAGCUGGGGUUAGAGCACAGGGUCAGCCAUGAUACAGUGCCCCUGGAGCAGAGAGUUAAGGGCCUUGCUCAAGGGCCAAAAAGUGGCAGCACUGUGUUUUGAACCCCUGACCUUCUGAUCAGUAACCUUAACCUCAGUAACCAGUAGGCUUAAGUAAGCCUUAACCGCUAAGCCACCACUGCCCCUACAAUAAUGGUCAUAUGGUAGGGGCUUGACGAAUCAGGGAAGGAUACACAAUGAUCCAGAAGACCCAAUCAGGGAGCGAAUGUGAGCGAAGCCACACCUUUGUUUUCAAAAGUCUUUGUUUUGUUCUGUUUACACUGAAAUGCGAGCCCGGAGUUUUCAAACUAAAAUGGGGACUUCGGCGUUUCCAAAAGUCUCAGUUUUCGAUGGGUCGAAAACACCAGAGUAGUGUAGACGACAGGCGUAACCGUAGCAACAGUUAUGCAUUUUUAAAACGAAAACGCACUAGUGUAAACGGCCUGAAGCUCAGGUCCAUGAGGAAAAGGACUCCUUAGAGAGCAUGCUGUGCUGUCAAACAGAGCUGGUAUACUGCAGCAUCGUGUGUAGCUGAUGUACAGGCUGAUAUAUGUUAUAAAAGGAAGGAAAUGAGUUUCUCAGUAGUUGCUGUUCAUUCGCCCCUUCAAAAAGCAAGGGCAGCUGUUAUCUCAUCAAGAAGGGCAUGAGCAAAUAGAACAAAGUCAGCAGGAGUUUAACUUUACUUUGAGGAUUCUAGGUGUGAGAGAGAGAGAGAAAUGCGUAAUACUUUGCGUAAUGCUUUUAAAAGUAGUAUGACGUGAAUGUGGAAGCAGUGGUAUGAGUCAAGAUGCUUUUAAAUUACACUGUGUGUGUGUGUGUGUGUGUGUGUGUGUGUGUUUGUUUUGGCUGCAGGUCAGUUUCCUCCAGAAGAAAGCGUCUGUUUUACAGGAGGACUUGGAUGCAUGCCGCAGCAGGAGGUAAUGAAGGACAUGCAAUAUUCAGCAUUGAGGAUUUCCACCCCCCCCCCCCCCCCCAAACAUCACCAUUCACACACCAUUCAUGUUUUGGACCAUGACUUGCUUUCAUGUUUUCUGUGUCAUGUUUGAAUUUUUACAACUUUCUUUUCAAAUGUAUUUAUGCACUGAGCCAUCAUAUUUAUUUCCAUUUUUGAAAACAGAUGAGUUCUGCUUAAUGUGGCUUGCUGUUUAAUAAUCACAACAAACGUCACAUACUGUUUGUUUGGCCAUGUUUACUUGAUUUCUGAAAGAAGAAAAAAAAAUGUCACGUUCUAAUUCUUUUUUUUUUUUUUUUAUUAAAUACUUUUUUUCUAUUG